GUAAUCCACAAGGGGAGCCCUUAGGCUGAGAGUGAGCGAUUUAGUUCAGACCCUAUGAACCUGUUAGUUAAUGCUAGCGUAGGGAUGUGGUAUUGGAUAAGA
rnacentral:ncRNA from 2 species